UGUGGCCCUGCAUGGAUAGGGCAGCAUUGCUGUGCCCUCUUAUGUUGGCCCAGAGGCCAUCCAAAACUUCCAGCUCUUACUACUCUAUUACAUAGAUGACCAUUCAUAACACAGCCUUAUUCACAUUGAAAGCUGGAGAAACUUCUGGGUGUGCUAAAGAUACCCAGGUGAACUCAGCUGAGCAGCAGUAAAUACCUUGGGGGCAGAGAG
rnacentral:lncRNA from 13 species